GUAAGAUCCCUGAAAGAUGAUCAGGUUGAUAGGUCUGAGGUGGAAGUGUGGCGACACAUGGAGCUGACAGAUACUAAUCGAUCGAGGACUUAACCAA
rnacentral:rRNA from 1 species